GAUGAACGCUGGCGGCAUGCCUAAUACAUGCAAGUCGAACGAGAACCUUCGGGUUCUAGUGGCGGACGGGUGAGUAACGCGUGGGUAACCUGCCUCAUACAGGGGGAUAACAGUUAGAAAUGGCUGCUAAUACCGCAUAAGCGCACAGUACCGCAUGGUACGGUGUGAAAAACUCCGGUGGUAUGAGAUGGACCCGCGUCUGAUUAGCUAGUUGGUGAGGUAACGGCUCACCAAGGCGACGAUCAGUAGCCGACCUGAGAGGGUGACCGGCCACAUUGGGACUGAGACACGGCCCAGACUCCUACGGGAGGCAGCAGUGAGGAAUAUUGGUCAAUGGGCGAGAGCCUGAACCAGCCAAGUAGCGUGAAGGAAGACUGCCCUAUGGGUUGUAAACUUCUUUUGUUCGGGAAUAAAGUGCAGUAUGUAUACUGUUUUGUAUGUACCGUUCGAAUAAGCAUCGGCUAAUUCCGUG
rnacentral:rRNA from 1 species